AUUGAACGCUAGCGGGAUGCUUUACACAUGCAAGUCGAACGGCAGCGCGGACUUCGGUCUGGCGGCGCGUGGCGAACGGGUGAGUAAUGUAUCGGAACGUGCCCAGUAGCGGGGGAUAACUACGCGAAAGCGUAGCUAAUACCGCAUACGCUCUACGGGGGAAAGCAGGGGAUCGUAAGACCUUGCACUAUUGGAGCGGCCGAUAUCGGAUUAGCUAGUUGGUGAGGUAACGGCUCACCAAGGCGACGAUCCGUAGCUGGUUUGAGAGGACGACCAGCCACACUGGAACUGAGACACGGCCCAGACUCCUACGGGAGGCAGCAGUGGGGAAUUUUGGACAAUGGGGGCAACCCUGAUCCAGCCACCCCGCGUGUGCGAUGAAGGCCUUCGGGUUGUAAAGCACUUUUAGCAGGGAAGAAACAUCGCGGACGAAUACCCCGUGGAACUGACGGUACCUGCAGAAUAAGCACCGGCUAACUACGUG
rnacentral:rRNA from 1 species